rnacentral:rRNA from 1 species
UACAGAGGUCCCAAGCGUUGUUCGGAUUCACUGGGCGUAAAGGGUGCGUAGGCGGUUGGGUAAGUCUGUCGUGAAAUCUCCGAGCCUAACUCGGAAACUGCGUCGGAUACUAUUCAACUCGAGGAAUGGAGGGGAGACUGGAAUUCUCGGUGUAGCAGUGAAAUGCGUAGAUAUCGAGAGGAGCACCAGUGGCGAAGGCGAGUCUCUGGACAUUUCCUGACGCUGAGGCACGAAAGCCAGGGGAGCAAACGGG